rnacentral:rRNA from 1 species
UGAGGACUAGUAUGAAUGGCCCCACGAGGGCUGCACUGUCUCCUUUUUCCAAUCAAUGAAACUAAUCUCCCCGUGAAGAAGCGGGGAUAACCCUAUAAGACGAGAAGACCCUAUGGAGCUUUAAACAACUGAAACAUUUGCUUCUCCCCUGGCCUCUCCUGAGCUCUUUAUUUUACUUAAGCAUUUUUAUUUCUAGUUUUAGGUUGGGGUGACCGCGGAGCAAAACUAAACCUCCAUGAAGAAUGAAUAUUUUUUAAGCCACAAACUACUUUUUUAAGCAUCAACAAAUUGACCUUCAUUGACCCAAUAUAUUGAUCAACGAACCAAGUUACCCUAGGGAUAACAGCGCAAUCUACUUCAAGAGCCCAUAUCGACAAGUAGGUUUACGACCUCGAUGUUGGAUCAGGGUAUCCUAGUGGUG